rnacentral:ncRNA from 2 species
UAACGGCCGUAUGACUGGCGGAAGUGGACAAACCACGUGGAGUACGGCCCGGUUUGGACGGACGUUUUGCCCCGUCGUGAACAGAAAAGCCGACCGCCUGGGCGUAGUGU